rnacentral:rRNA from 1 species
UACGUAGGGUGCGAGCGUUAAUCGGAAUUACUGGGCGUAAAGCGUGCGCAGGCGGUUUUGUAAGUCAGAUGUGAAAUCCCCGGGCUUAACCUGGGAACUGCGUUUGAAACUACAAGGCUAGAGUGUGGCAGAGGGAGGUGGAAUUCCACGUGUAGCAGUGAAAUGCGUAGAGAUGUGGAGGAACACCGAUGGCGAAGGCAGCCUCCUGGGCCAGCACUGACGCUCAUGCACGAAAGCGUGGGGAGCAAACAGG